GUAUUUCUGUGGCUCAGUUGGUAGUGCAUUGUGCUAACAUCACUAAAGUCAUGGGUUCAAAUCCCAGAGAAUGCA